rnacentral:lncRNA from 1 species
AUUUAUUUAGGUUUUUGUAUUAAGUGACAACUAAAAAGGAAUUAAACUGAUUUUAUGUUCGAUUUAUCUUUUCUAUAUAAAAAAAUUAAUUUAUUCAAUUUGUAUUAAUUUAAUUUGAUUUAAACUGAUGCAUACAAAUUGUUAAUGGAAAACAACUAAGAAGGAGCAAGACAAGCCAACCAAAAUAGAACUUUUGGAUCACAAAAUAUUUAAACUGUGAGCAUGCUGUUAAUCCACUGAGAUGGG